UACGGGGGGGAGCAAGCGUUGUUCGGAUUUACUGGGCGUAAAGGGCGCGUAGGCGGCCUGUGCAAGUCAGUUGUGAAAUCUCCGGGCUUAAUUCGGAAAGGUCAACUGAUACUGCUCGGCUAGAGUGCGGAAGGGGCAACUGGAAUCCUAGUGUAGCGGUGAAAUGCGCAGAUAUCAGGAGGAACACCGGUGGCGAAGGCAGUUCUCUGGGCAUUACCUGACGCUGAGGAGCGAAAGUGUGGGGAGCGAACAGG
rnacentral:rRNA from 1 species